UACAGAGGGGGCAAGCGUUAUUCGGAAUUAUUGGGCGUAAAGGGCGCGUAGGCGGCCUGGCAAGUGGAUGGUGAAAUCCCUCGGCUUAACCGAGGAACUGCCAUCCAGACUGCUUGGCUUGAGACCGGGAGAGGUGAGUGGAAUUCCCAGUGUAGCGGUGAAAUGCGUAGAUAUUGGGAGGAACACCUGUGGCGAAAGCGGCUCACUGGACCACAACUGACGCUGAGGCGCGAAAGCUAGGGGAGCAAACAGG
rnacentral:rRNA from 1 species